rnacentral:lncRNA from 1 species
UUUUUUUUUUUUUUUUGAUAGGUAAGCAAAGAUAUAUUAAAGCGCUUGCAAAAAGGCACAAAAAAGUACACACAGAGUAUACAAAUUAGGCCCAAAAGCAAGCCAAAGAAGGAAAAGAGGAGAAAUACCCACCACCCUCACAACAAGCUGCCCUAACUAAACAGAAAAAAAUUGAAAAACAAAACCAAUGAGAGAACCCUACAACCAGAAGCACCUUCUUUCCUCAAACCCCAGCCCCACUCCCCUUUCCCCUAGCAGUGAACGGAGAGCUAUUAUAAUUAACUGAGCACUCUAACUUUCAGAUUUCCCUCUCAAAAUGGGAAGAACCCCUUUUCUUACCCCCUAACAUCCAUAUCCCCCGCCCUUUUCUUGACUCCAUUUUUCUGAUUAGAGCACAAAUUUCCUUCUCAAAGCCCGCUAUUGGCAUCCCUAAACAAUUACUAAACUCAACAAACCCACUGGGAAGGCUGUUAAAAUUCUCCCCCUCCAAGACCCCGAUUUCCAUAUCCCUUGGAAGCUCCAUCUCCUUGGCCCUGGCAACUAACUCCAUAUCAGAGGGUUCCUUCACAGCCUUCCUCAAGAGAUCUAACAUGCUGCCAUCUUGUAGAACCAUCUUCAGCAGCUAACAACCAGGGCUUUGAGGACCCAAGGAGAGGGAAGAACACCCGUAAGCCUAUUCGUCUCCACCACAAGUGCAUCAUCAGUAAUCGCAACUCGAGAAGAUAACGAAUCCACAGGAAAAUGCUCACUGCUCCCAUCAUGCAGAAAAAGGAUAUCAGGAACAUGGGGCAACUUGACUCUGGGCUCCUCAUCUGAAGCCAUACCCUGCCCUCUUCUCCCGACUGAACCACUAAAAUUGUCCCCUCCUCUGCUCUCUCGCACAAGAAGAACAUGCCCCUCCUGCACCUUCUCUGCAGAAGAAACGAGCCUUAGCAAGCUCGCUCUACCUUUUAAAGCUCCACUUAAAGGCUCAUCCUUCACAGAGGCCUUUCCCACCUUAGCUUCAGUACCAGCUUGGGCCAGGCCCAAAAAUAGUGGACCCACCCCUCUUGAAUCCAAAGACAAAGAUGUAUCCCCAAAUACACCACUGUGAGCCUCUUCCAGCCCCUGUCAGCCCAAGAACCUCCCCAUCAUCCUUCACAAAGGCAACAGGCCCAACUACCCCAUUUUCUCCCAUUACGGUUGUAACCUCUUGUCACGUCCUAGAAAAUCCUCCCACCUCCCCUCAGCAAAAAUUGCUGCAGAGUUCACUGUAGCCUCUCCUACCAACCUCGGCCUGCAACAAGUCAAACCUACUGCAACAGCUUUUGCGUCAAAGCCUGCAACACCCUCUUCCGCUGCUUCAGACCUGCAGCAAAGCAACUCGACAACUGCUACAGUACUCAAAGGAUGCAUUCCCAUCCCACUCGCUUCGUCAACGCAUGAGGAGACCUCCACUCCUCCCCCAACCUCUUGCUCACUGGCAACACAGUUUCUUCUUCUUGGCUCCACAAACAAAAAACCCGGCAGAGCUUCCCACCAAAAGUGUAAAAAGAAGCUGGUCUUGCCCAUUACCAAUUGCAACAAACUAGGUAAAGAACUCCCAACAGGAUGCACCAAAAUCCUGGCCCAAUGCAGAUUAGUCAUUAGAGUNNNNNNNNNNNNNNNNNNNNNNNNNNNNNNNNNNNNNNNNNNNNNNNNNNNNNNNNNNNNNNNNNNNNNNNNNNNNNNNNNNNNNNNNNNNNNNNNNNNNUUUAGAGACCAAAAGCAGCAAAAGAUUUCAAAAAGGAUAAGUCAAAUCGCUGCUUUGACCCCUCAUCAAACCAACUGACCAAACAUCUGCACAGAGACUCCUCCUUGCCUCGCACCUCGCUUUCUCCAAUCUAAACCCAGACCGCUUCCCCUGCCACUCCACGAGGCUUCCUUACAGCAUCAACAAAAGACCCACAGAUUGUCUCCUCCCUACAGGCGCUCCUCGCCUUAGCAGGGGGAUUCACUCUCCUAGCCUCAGUUGAGGGGGCUACACCUAAAUAAUGCAGCUUCUCCACUAGAAUCGACCAUCCCCCAUGAAAACCCCUCCCUUCGAGGAAAACCAAUGAGAACCUCUUCUCCUCUUCAGCCACAACAGAGCAAAGUAAAAACCUCCCUACCUCGUUCGAGUGUCAUUCCAACUUGAGCCUCCUACCCCCCUCCACCCAACCUUUGCUCCAUCUUUCCAAAUCCUCAUCCUUGCAACAAUCUUCUACCUCUUCCAACAAAAGUCGCAAACUCAAAUCCCCGAACCUAAUCCAGUCAGAAAAACCUCUGCACUUUCCACAAUAACCCCUCUCAGUUUUCCCCAAACCUCCUCUAUAAAAGGUCAAAAGUUUUUUACUCCACUACAAACCAGCACCGUCCACCUCUCAUGGCCAGCAACCCCCUCACUAUUAAAGGCUACCAAUUAUGUCUUGGAAACCUUUAGAAAGUAGUUGAGGGUUAUUAUAAAAGGGAAAAACUUGCUUAUUGUAAAGACUUUUGAUGAUUAUCUAGAAAAAAAUACAAGAAGUGAUUAACAAAAACUUUCUGGUUUCGGCUUACACACAGGGUUUUUCCUAGAUUUUUCCUUAAGAAAUCUUAGCUCCUACCGGUGUUUGGAGUAACUUGGUUGUAGUCUACUUGGAUAAUAACUAUAAUAGCUUUUCAAUUUUCAUCAAUUGGUAUCAAAGUCUUUGUUUCAUAUUUGUUCUUGUUUUUUGAAUCAAUGGCUAGGUCUGGGGAUCAUUUGAAUGCUACAACAUCACAACCAGAGAGAAGUGGCCUAACUAGAGAAGAGUUUGCAAACUUGCAGUAACAACUUAAUCAAUUAUGUGCGAGAUUGGUGCUAGCUGGUAUUUUUGGUGCUCCUAAUUCCACCAUUGGAGGCCAAACAAGGCAGAAUUUUCAAACUCACCAGCGAAGGAAUUUGAGAAAUCAGUCUGCUAUGGAGGAGUUCCAGCAAACCGAAGGGUACUUUUCGAAUGAAGGUGGAGUUUCACCUUUGAAGAGGCAACCAACAUUUCAUCAUACUGCAGAUCAUGAUCAAAACCUAAACAUUAAGGUAGACAUUCCACAUUUACUAGAGAGGAGCAACUAGAGGAGGUCUUAUAGAUUGGUUGAAUGAAGUUGAAAGGGUUUUUGAGUUUCUAAAUCUUCCAAAAAAUAAAAAGGUGAAGUUGGAGGAUAUAAAAUUGAAAGGGUAUGCUUCCUCUUGGUGACAAGAGUCCAAUCUGGAAAGGAGAAAAUCCAAAGUUGGACUAAAAUGCAGCAACAAAUCCGAAGUCAAUUCCUUCCAUUGAACUAUGAAGGAAUUAUUUUUCAGCAAUACCAAGCACUUCAGCAUGGCCAAUGUUCUGUGCAAGAAUACACUAAUGAGUUCUACAAAAUGCAAACUAGAGUACAACUAACUGAAACAAAAGUGCAGGUCAUUCAUCGUUAUUUGAUGGGAUUGAGGCCAAAUGAUAGAAAUUUGGUGGAGCUACAGCCUUGUUGGACGCUAUUUGGUGUUGUUCAAUUGGCAAUGAAGGUUGAAAGUCAACAAAGACGAUCAAACAACCACCCGAUUAGAAGUGUAAGGGGGCAUCGCGUGCCUUAUGGAUGAAGCUUCCAGGUAUUCCUUAUUUUCGCCUCCUUUUGUUUGCGUUUGGGGGGGACGGGACUCUGCUUCUUCUUCACCUUUCUUUGGGGUGAAGGGGGCUUUGAUCGAGGUAGAGGAGGGUCAUGAUGCUGAUGUCAUUUUGAAGGAAAACGAAAGGGAGCUGUUUGUAAAUCCUUUUAGGGUGUUGUUGGCGGAAGAAAGGGUUUUUGAGAAGGGCGAUGGCGGGUCUUUCCCGAUAAGGAAGGGGAGGGUUGAGGAAGAGGGAGGGGAUGUCGAGUCGUGGAGGUACAACAGUUUGGCAAGUUUUUGUCAUUGUUUGGGAAUGCCCACUAAGGGAUUUGAAGAAGAGAUUUUGAAGCUUCUUAAUAGAAUGAAGGAAAGAAGAGAACGAUUUGAGAGGGUAAGCAGAAAAAAAGGAGAGUACAAAGAUCCUCUAGAUUUGACCGAGAGCUAAAGAAACUUGAAUGUUCGAUAAAUUACGAUGGGACAGGAGGGGAUCGGGGUCAUUCGAAGUGUGUUGGAUGAGGCUUCGAAUCCUUUCGUGGAAUGUAAGGGGGGCAAAUGAUAGAGACAAGAGAAAAUUGAUAAAGGAUGUUAUUAAAACUCAGAAGGUGGAUUUAGUGUGUCUCCAGGAAACAAAAUUCAGGAGAUAACUAGUGGGAAUGUGAAGUCUCGGGUUAGGAAGAUGUUUGGAGUGGGGGGCUAUGAAUUCAAGGGGUGCGCGGGGGAAGGGGGGUGGGUUUUGGGAUAAUAGGGUGUUACAGAUGGUGGAAAUGGAGGUAGGCAAAUAUUCAGUCUCUUGUCGCUUCAAGAAUUGUGAGGAAUGGUUUUUGCUGGAUUUUCACAAGAUUGUAUGGACCAACUAUGAAGUUGUAAAGAGGAGAUUUUUUGAGUGAGCUGGGGUCAUUAGAGGUUUGUGGAAUGAGUCGUGGUGCGUAGUAGGAGAUUUUAACAUGAUAAGAUUCCCCUCUAAGCAUAGUACAGGAGGUUGUCUGUCCUCAGCAAUGAAGAAAUUCUCAGAGGUGGUUGAGCACUUAGAACUAAGGGACUUGCCUCUGCAGGGGGGGCUAUUCACUUGGAGUGGAGGACUUAAUUUUUUUUUAUUUUUUUUUGAUAAAUAAGCAAGGAAUAUAUUAACAAGAGGCAAACAGCCACAAAGCAUACAAGGGGUAUACAAGGUAGCUCAAACCUCACAAACAAAAAACGAAAGAGCCCCGUCACCUCACCAACCCUUAAGUGGAUGCUAACCACUCCAAAAAGCCUAUAAGGGAAUGCGACUCCUCACCAAUAUACAAUCUAGCCCAACUCCAUAAAUUACAUACAAAAGAAUUUUUGAGUUUCUAAAUUGCUAAAGAACCCCCCCUAAAGGCAAGUCUAUUCCUCUCUUUCCAAACUGUCCAAAAUAUGCACAACGGGAUGGAUUUGCAAAUCUUUUUCAUUUUUUUCCCACAAAAGGGCUCAUCCAGCUAAUUAAAACCUCCUUUACAGUUUCUGGAAAGACCCACUGGAUACCAAACAAAAUGAGGACGAUUUCCCAAAGAACUCUGGCCACUAUACAAUGUAUAAGAAUAUGAUUUACAGUUUCUUCUUCACAACCACACAAAAAACAGCAAUUAGGGAUCUGCCACCCUCGUUUCUGGAGUCUAUCUAAAAUAAGCACCUUCCCCCAUGUAGCCUCCCAAGCAAAGAAAGCGAUUUUGGUUGGAACUCUACCCACCCAAAUGCAAUUUUUCGGGAAGACGGUGUCUAUUGGAUUAACCAGCAAGUUGUACGCUUCUUUAACUCUAAAGUGCCCGUUACUUCCACCCUUCCAAGAGACUGAGUCUUCCUCCAAUGUAAGUCUGUAACCCCUCAAGACAUGGAGCAAAUUUCCUACCAAAUCCAACUCCCAAUCAUUAAAAUCCCUAAGUAAUCUUAGAUUCCAUCCUCCUUGACCGAAAUUCUAGUCCCACAUUUCCUCCACCGUAGCGUUCCUAUGUGCAGCCAUGAUAAAUAAUUGUGGGAAUCUUUGAGACAGCGAUGUACUGCCGCACCAAUGGUCAGUCCAGAAUCUAAUUUUGGUGCCAUUUCCAACUGUGAACACUAUAUUUUCCCAGCACCAUUCAGUUUCCUUCAAGAUCUCCUUCCAAACCCCUACUCCAAACACUCCAUUAGCUUUCUUCGUCCUCCAACCAAAGCCCUCUUGCCCAUAUUUCGCCAAAAUACCUGCUUCCAAAGAUUUUCCUUAUCACAAGCAAAUCUCCAUAUCCAUUUGCCAAGCAAGGCCCUAUUCAAAAGAGCUAGCUUCUUUAAGCCUAACCCACCCUUCUCCUUAUCCGCACAAACCACCUCCCAAUUAACUAAGUGGGCUUUUCUCUCCAAGUCUCCCCCUCUCCACAGGAAGUCUCUUUGCAGUUUUUCUAACCUUCUUGCUACUACCUUGAGUAUACAGAAAAAAGACAUUUGAUAAAUGGGCAUACUAGCCAUCGUACUCUUUAUGAGAGUAAUUCUCCCACCUUUGGAAAUAUAUUGACAUUUCCAAAGCGCAAGUCUCCUCCUCACUCUCUCUUCCACUCCAUCCCACGCCGAUAGAGCCUUGUUAGGAGCCCCUAAAGGCAGUCCCAAAUAUGAAGAAGGCAGAGAACCCACCCUACACCCUAUCUCUACUGCCAUCACAUCCAACUCUUGCACCUCACCAACUGGGAUGAUUUCACUUUUGGGCAACUUAAUCCUUAAUCAUGAUGCGGCUUCAAACCAAAAUAAGAUCCAACUCAAGUGAGUUAGGUACUCUCUCUUUGCCUCACAGAACACAACUGCAUCAUCAGCAAAAAAAAAAAAAUGCGAGAUAUUCAAAUCCGACCUUCUUCCUCCCCAGAUUUUGUACCCUGCUAGGUAGCCCCCUUCAACAGCCCUCCUAAUGAGAGCACUCAACACUUCCAUUCCCAUGACAAAGAGGUACGGAGAUAGUGGGUCUCCUUGACGAAGCCUCUUAGUACUAGGAAAAAAACCUAUUGGCAACCCAUUAACCAAAACUGAAAAUUUAGCUGUAGAGAUGCAUCACCACAUCCAUCCCAACUACCUUGACCCAAACCCCAUCUUUUGCAUAACCUUCAUCAAAAACUGUCAGUUAAUGCUGUCAUAAGCUUUUUCGAUAUCCAAUUUACAUAUAAGCCCUUUUCUCUUAUCUUUUCUACCAAGAAUCGAUCACCUUGUUUGCUAUUAAGGAGGCAUCCAAAAUCUGUCUACCAAUCACAAAAGCAUUCUAAUCAGAGGAGACCACUUUUCCUAUCACUUUCUUGAGCCUAUUAGCUAGCACCUUAGCCAUCAAUUUAUACAACCCCCUCAACAGGCUUAUGGGUCUAAAAUCCCCAAGGUCCUCAGCCCCACCCUUCUUAGGUAAAAGAACCAAAAACGUGGUGUUGAGACUCUUGAUAAAAGAGCUUUGCUCAUGGAACUCCUUAAACAUUUCCAAGACUUCCUCUUUUACAAAGUCCCAACAAUUUUUCCAAAAAGCCAUUGUGAAGCUAUUCGGGCCUGGGGCUUUGUCUCCAUUCAUAACCAUCAAAGUAGAGUGUAUCUCUUCCUCAGAGAAGGGAAUCUCCAGAUUCUCCGCUUCUUGAUGGCUUAGUUGAUCUAACUGCAACCUCCCAAUAUCGGCCUUCCAAUCUGAGUCUUUAGAAAGCAUUUGUUGGUAGGCGUUGGCUACCCCUUCCCUCACUUCUUGCUCCUCUGACAACCACACCCCAUUAUUUUAAUUUUGUCCAAGAAGUUAUUUCUACGAUGGGCAUUUGCCAUACGAUGGAAAAAGCCCGUAUUUCUGUCCCCUUCCCUUAACCAUAACUCCCUUAAAAGUUGUCUCCAAUGUACUUCUUCCAAAGACACCCACUUUUUAUAAUUUUCCUAUGCUUCCUUUUUUAAAUUUGUUUGCUCCUUUGACAGGCUUCUCUCACUUUCCACCUAGUCCCAAAAUUCCACUUGUUGUAGAGCUAAAGCUUUAUUGCAUUCUAGCCUUUCGAACACAUCCCUAUUCCAAACUUUAAAUUUUUGUUUAAGUUCUUUCAUCUUUGCAGCCAACCUAAAGCUAGCACUGCCCCUAACCACUCUCCCUUGCCACCAACUUCGAAGAAGAUCUUUAAAUCUCUCUACUUUAAACCACAUGUUUUCGAACCUGAAUGGAGAGGGACCUCUUAUUAAACCACCACCCUCUAACAAUAUAAGGAAGUGGUCAAAGAUAGGCCUAGGCAGCCGGCUCUGGAGGACACCACUAAACUAAUCCAGCCAACUGGGAAUCACGAGAAAUCUUUCCAGUCUAGCCUAGGAUUGAUUAUUAAGACCCCCACUCCAAGUAAACAAUCCCCCUUGCAUAGGGAGAUCAACUAGCCCUAAUUCAUCAAUUAUCUGAGCAAAUCUCCUCAUCGUUGUUGUUAUUCUCCCUUGUCUGCACCUUCCCUUUGUGAUAUAAUGAUAUUGAAGUCACCUCCUAAACACCAGGGUUCUUCCCAAAUUCCUCUAAUCACCCCAAUCUCUUCCCAUAAGCAUUCCCUUUCCUCUUUGGUGAACAGACCAUAGACACCCAUGAACACCCGGAUAACACCAUCUUCCACAUUACUGAAUCUACAAGAGAUUGAAAAUUGGCCCUCCUCCCAAUCCAAAAUUCCAAAGACCUUUUGUCCCAACAAAUCAAGAUACCUCCCGCAGAGCUAGAAGCAUCCAGGGCCCUCCAAUCUAAGAAUCUCCCCGUUCCUAAACUUCUCACCACACCCUCGGUCAUUGGUUGAAUUUUUGUCUCCUGAAUACUCAGCAAAUCUACCUUCUGGUUUCAUAUGAAAGCCUUUCUUAAUUUCCUUUUGGAGCUAUCAUUUGCUCCUCGCACAUUCCAACUCAACAAUUUGAGCUUCAUUUGACUUUCGAAAGCUGACACCCUCUACCUUGCAAAGGGCUUUUCUGUUUUUUCCCUCCCUCAUAAUUAAUUGAACACUCUGGCCUCUUCAACUCCCUUUCGAAUUUUGAUUUCUCCAAUAAUCCUUUGCUAUGAAUCCUCUCCCAUCUUUUUCUAAUUUUGACCAAGAACUCUAGAAUCUCCUUUUCCAAUCCCUUUGUCAAAAAUCCCAGAAAAUGGCUGAAUUUUGCCAGACUGCUUUCCUCCCAUCUAUUCUCCUUCCCACCCCUAACUUCUUGAUGCUCGGGCUGAGUUGAGCUCCACUCCAAUCCCCUACCCUUAUUAAUGUCUCUAUUUACCUCUACCAUAUCCCAACAGACAGUGCCAUCCACUAUAGCCCCAUCUACAGUAAUCAUAAGCAGCGGACUCUUUUCCUGAAUUUCCUCCCUUAAUGCCCCAGAAAGAUCGUAAUACUCCCCCACCGGAGUCCAACCAAAAGAAAGAGAAAAAGAAGGAGAAGACCCAGAAGCCCUUUUUCCCUAAGAAUUCAGAACAGACCCAUACCUCAAAGCUUCUUCAACUAAUGCACGGUUUGUCGUUGUUUGGUGGUCUUCUAUUUGUUGCUUCCUCAUGACUUCCAUCUCCCAGAGUUUGAAAAACUUUGCCUCUAGGUUAUUCCAGUUAUUGAGACCUUGCCAGGCCGAGGGACAGGCCUUAACCAAAAGGGCUCUGUCUAGUAAUUGGACCUGGGAAGGACCUGGGCUUGUGACCCCUUCCAAUCCAACUAGCCCAAGAGACGAAGGGCUCUCUACUUCGACGACGGCCCAUCCGAAAGCCUAGCUUCGUCCACUGCAACACCUUUUAACUUUAAGUCCACUGUUAGGCCUAGCGAAGAUAGCCCACCAGCCCGCUUCAAGCCAUUUAAGCACACAGACGGGUCUGAAUGGUAAGGCCCGUUCGCCAGCGGAUCAAAAGAAGGUUGGACCACCGGCCCAACUUAGAUCCGGCGUGAGGACAUAAUGCGCCCCGACCCACUCACCUGCCCACCCGUCCCGUCUGCUGAUAGAUGCAGAGCCUCGAGCUUGGAGUGGAGGACUUAAUAAUCGGUUAAAGUCAAGAAUUAAUCGGUUUCUCAUUUCUGAAGAUUGGGAAGUUCACUUUCAUGGGGCCAUUCAAGUUGUUCUGGCUAGGUUGGUUUCUGAUCACUCUCCGAUUCUUCUUGAUGGGGAAGGGAUGAGGACAGGGUCCACACCUUUUAGAUUCGAAAAUAUGUGGCUGAAAGAGGAAGGCUUUAAAGAGGUGUUAAGAAAGUGGUUGGAGGGGAUUCAGGUUAGUGGGUCAGCCAGCCUCAUUUUGGCUUAAAAGUUGAAGGCCUUGAAACCGAUUCUGAGAAGCUGGAAUAAAGAGGUAUUUGGUAAGGUUGAAACUAAGAAACAGAGUGCUUGGAAUUUGGUGGAUUUUUAAGACAAGGAAGAGAGUGCUCGCACAUUGUCUAUGGAAGAAGAGGAAGUUAGGAAUGAGGCAAUAGAGGCUUAUAAAAAGUGGGUCCUUUUAGAAGAAGCAUCGUGGAGGUAGAAGUCUAGAGAAAUUUGGCUAAAGGAGGGAAAUAGAAACACAAGGUUUUUUCAUCAGAUGGCUAAUGCUCAUAGAAGAAGGAACCAGUUGACUAGAGUAAAAGUUAAUGGGAGAUGGCUCACUGAGGAAAGUGAAAUUAAAAAGGAAGUGGACAGAGCUUUCCAAGGUCUAUUGGCAAAUCCCGGUGGUUGGAAGCCUAAUAUAGAUGGUUUGAUUUUUGAGAGGCUGGAAGAGUUAGAUGUGGAAGAGUUGGAGAAGCCUUUCUCGGAGGAGGUCUUUGGUGCACUGUCAGGUUUCUGCGGAGAGAAAGCGUCAGGCCCUAACGGUUUCUCAAUGGCGUUCUGGCAGUUUUCUUGGGAUUUUGUAAAGUAGAGGUGAUGAACUUCUUCAGACAGUUCCACGAGUCUGGGAGCUUUGUAAGAAGUCUGAAUGCAACUUUCUAGUGUUGAUUCCUAAGAAACGGGGGGUUGAGGACUUGAAGGAUUUUAGGUUAAUUAGCUUGGUGGGAGGAUUGUACAAGUGGUUAACCAAGGUGCUAGCUAAUAGGCUGAAGGGGGUGUUAGCUAAGGUGAUCUCAACGUCUCAAAAUUUGUGAAGGGGCGGCAAAUUAGGGAUGCAAUGUUGAUUGCUAAUGAAGCAAUAGACUCAAUUUUGAAAAGUAGUAGAGGAGUGAUUCACUGCAAAUUGGACAUUGAGAAAGUCUAUGAUCAUGUGGAUUGGUCUUUUCUUUUAGCAGUGUUGGAGUAGAUGGGGUUUGGGGAAAAGUGGCAUAGAUGGAUAAAGUGGUGUUUAUCCACUGCUAGAUUCUCUGUUUUGGUAAAUAGAACCCCUACUGUUUUUUUUUCAAAGCUCAAGGGGUUUAAGGCAAGGAGACCCCCUUUCACCUUACUUGUUCGUAAUUGUGACGAAGGCUUUCACCUGUCUACUGAAGAGAGCAGUUUCUUUGCUUGGGAGGCUUCAUGGGGAAGAGUUCUAACCUUGGACCAUUUACAAAAGAGGGGUUGGGCUUUGGCUAAUAGAUGCUUUAUGUGCCAAAUGUGUGAGGAGUCAAUUGAUCACCUCCUUCUUCAUUGUGAAAAAACAAGGGAAGUGUGGAUGUUACUCCUUUCUUUAUUUAGAGUGUCUUAGGUGUUUCCUUUUUCGGUAAAGGAAACCCUUCUAGGGUGGAGGGGCUCUUUUGUGGGUAAAAAGAGGAAGGCGGUGUAGCAAGUGGGACCAUUAUGCUUAUUUUGGGUCAUUUGGAAGGUAAGGAAUAAAAUUGCUUUUGAAGAUAGCGUGUUGUCCAUCUAAAGGCUAAAAGCUUCUUUUGUGUAUUUACUUUGGUCAGAGACCAAAUUGUGGAUAAAAGGUGGUCCUUUGACCUUAAUAGAUUUUAUAGAUUGGUGGGUUUGCAAUGAGGGAGAAGGUUUUUUGUUUUUUCCUUGUUUUGGGUCCAAUUGUAAGGGGGCAAGUGUCUUUAUACUGUAAUUUUGUGGGUCACUAUUUUAGCCUCUCUUCGUAAUACAGUUCUUUUGCUUAUUGAUAAAAAAAAUAAUCAAUUGGAGGAUAAUAGGUGGCAGGGAGAUGUCAAGCAAAAGUCAGUGGCAGCGACUAAUGAUUUGUAGAAUUCUAGAUCAAACACUCACUCCCAAGCUCGUAACCAAGGCCAAGGGCAUGCAAUAAUGAGAAAUCAUGUUCUUGGAAAUAGUAGCAACUCAUUUCAGCCUGCGGGACGUAGAAAAAUAUGUUAUAAACGUGGAAAAGAGGGUCACAAAUCUUUUGAUUGUCGAAAACAAGCCAACAACUUAUUGAUUAAUGAAGAUGAAAGGGAGAAUAAUGAUGAGGAGGUAGCAAUGGAACCUCAAGGCAAUGGAGGGCAGCUGGAAUUCAUGGAAGAUGAAGUCACAUAUGAAGACCAUGAUCUUCCAAAUUUAGUGCUAAGACGUUCCAUAUUAACUCCAAAAGCAUCAAAAAGCGAUUGGUGGAGAAACAACAUUUUUAAAACUAGAUGAUCUUCAUACGGGAGGCUUUGCAAAGUUAUUAUUGAUAACGGAAGUUGUGAAAAUCUUGUUUCUAAAGAAAUAGUGACAAAGCUCAACUUGGAAGUGCUACCACACCCAAAGCCAUAUCAAAUUGCUUGGUCCAAGAAAGGAGGUGAAGUAGAAGUAGUGUAGCAGUGUCUUGUUCCCUUCUCAAUUGGGAAAAACUAUUCAGAUAAUGUUUUAUGUGAUGUGGUGGAAAUGGAAGCCUGUCAUUUGUUACUUGGAAGGCUAUGGCAAUUUGACAAUAAAAUUGUCCACCAUGGAAAGAAGAAUGCUUAUGCUUUCUACAAAAAUGGGCUUAAGGUAGUACUUGCCCCAAUGAAAGAAUAAGAGUUUGUUAAAUCUAAGGUCAAACCAGAACAAUCUUGUGUAACUGUAUAAUGCUUUUUAAAUGAGUUUGAAGCUAAUGGAGUUGCCUUUUUGUUGUUGGCAAAAGAAAUCUUAGAAGACCAAUAAGAUUGUUUCAUGGGUUUAUAGGUGCUUCUUUCUCCCUGAAAUGGUUUAUGGAUUCAAUCAAAAAGAGGAAACAUGGUUGCUUCAGAGGUGAGAGGUGGUAAAUGUUGGUUUGCAGUGGAGUCCAAUACCUUCGAAAUCUCCAUUGAAGUAGUCUGAGGUAAACCUAGAGGGAUUAUUCUAGAAAGGAGCAAAGGCUUAUCCUCUUGGAUAAGGUUUGGAGAAAGGAUUUUGAGCUACCUGUUGGAAGGUGUGGAAGCUUGGUGUAAAGGAGAGUCAAGUUCGAGGUGUCUAAAAGUUUGGGAAGAUGGGAAAAGAAAGUUCAGGCUGGAGUGUCGAUCAAAUGAAACUGGUAGGUUUUUACUCGGCUCUGUGUGAGAUGUGGAAGCUAAGAAGUAUUGUCUUGUCUUUCCAGGGGGCAAAGGUUUAGUUGGGGGUUGGUUCUUGUUGGUUAAGAAGUUGAGGGCCCUGGGAGUCUCCACUCCAGCAGUGAGCAAAGUUUUUCCUAGUGUUCCCACCUCUGAAAAGGUUGGGAAUAGUUUCAAAGAGAAAGUGAAAGGAACUUAUGCAAAUGCUACGGGGUCCAUGCAGGGGGGUUCAUUUACUUGGAGGGGUGGGUUGAAUAACCAAUCCCAAUCUAGGCUCAACCGGUUUUUAGUGACAAAUAAUUGGGACAGCCUGUCUAAUGGGUCUGUGCAGGGUAUUUUACCCAGACCGGUUUCUUAUCACUUUCCCAUUCUGCUAGAUGGAGGAGGUAUGAGGGGACCCUCUCAUUUCAGAUUUGAGAAGUGGUUGGUGGAAGAGGGGUUCAAAGAUCAGGUUAAGAAUUGGUGGGUGAGCUUUAAUUUUACUAGGACUUUCAGCUUUGUUUUAGACGCAAAAUUGAGAGCCUUAAACUUGAAGACUUGGAAUAAAGAAGUGUUCGGCUUCAUUGAGCCUAAAAAGGGAAAAGCUCUCGACCAGGUUAUGUAUUGGGAUGAGAAGGAGAAAGUUUCAACCCUAAAUCUGGAAGAGUGUGAAGCUAGAAAUGAGGCUAGGGAGUCUUAUAAGACUUUCUGAGGUAGGAAAUCUCUUGGAGACAAAAGUAAAGGGAAGUGCGGUUGAAGGAAGGGGACAAUAACACCAGAUUCUUCCACGGGAUGGCGAAUGCUCUCAGUAGAAGAAAUUGGUUGUCCAAUGUGAAAGUGAAUGGUUGCUAGUAUACCGAGGAGAAUGAUUUAAAAGUUAGUGUGGUCGGGGCGUUUCAUAACCUCCAUUUAGUAGAAGGGGGGUGGUGUCCCUAUAUUGACGAGUUAUCCAUUGUGGGGUUAGACAGCAAUGAGAUUGAGAGGUUGGAGCUUCCUUAUUCAGAAGAAGAGGUGUUUGUAGCUCUCUCAGAUCUAGGCAAGGAUAAAGCUUUAGGUCCGAACGGCUACACCAUGGCGUUUUGGCUUUUUUGUUGGGAUGUUGUGAAGGAAGAAGUUUUGGGUUUUUUUAGAGACUUCCAUGAGGAUGGCCGAUUUGUUAAGUCUUUGAAUGCUACUUUCCUGACUCUUGUUCCUAAGAAGGGAGGUGCAGAAGACCUGUAAGAUUUUAGGUCGAUUAGUCUUGUGGGCAGCCUUUAUAAGUUGUUAGCCAAGGUGUUGGCUAAUAGACUUAAAAAGGUAAUGGGCAAAGUGAUUUCAGAGUCCCAAAAUGCCUUUGUAGAGGGUAGACAGAUUUUAGAUGCAGUUUUGAUUGCAAAUGAGGUCGUCGACUCAAGGUUGAAAAGCAAGGAAGGUAGUGUGUUGUGCAAGUUGGAUAUAGAGAAGACAUAUGAUCAUGUGAAUUGGAAGUUCUUGUUUGCAGUGCUUAGAAAGAUGGGUUUUGGAGAAAUGGAUUAAAUGGGUAGAAUAGUGCAUCUCUAUUGUGAAAUUUUUUGUUUUAGUAAAUGGAUCUCCUUCUGGUUUUUUCCAAAGUUCGAGGGGAUUGAGACAAGGAGAUCCCCUCUCCCCUUAUUUAUUCAUGAUAGCCAUGGAGGUGUUUAGUUGUCUCUUGAGGAGGGCUAUUAGUGGGGGCUACUUAUCUUGUUGGAGAGUGAAAGGUAGGAGUGGUGAGAGGAUUCUGAUCUCGACUUGUUAUUUGUUUAUGAUACUUUGGUGUUUUGUGAGGCGUCUCAAGACCAGAUGGCUUAUCUAAGUUGGCUUCUUAUGCAGUUUGAGGCUUGCUCAGGUUUGAGAAUCAAUCUAGAGAAAAGUGAGCUAAUUCCAGUGGGUAGGGUGCAUAAUAUAGAGGACUUGGCCUUGAAGUUGGGGUGUAAAGUGGGUGGUCUCCCUUCCAACUAUUUGGGUCUUCUUUUGGGAGCCCCCUUCAAAUCAGUGUGGUGUGGGAUGGUGUUGAAGAGAGAUUCAAAAAAAGCUAGCAAUGUGGAAAAAACAGUAUAUCUCAAAAGGAGGAAGAAUCACUUUAAUUCGAAACACUUUGUCUAGCAUGCCUAUCUAUUUCAUGUCCCUUUUUUGCAUGCUAAGACAAGUGAGGUUGAGAUUGGAGAAGAUUCAAAGGGAUUUUCUCUAGGGUGGUGGAGCUCUUAUGUAGAAACCGCAUCUUAUUAGGUGUAACACGAUUUGCUUGGAGAGAAGGAAAUAUCGUUUAGGUGUGAGAAAUCUCUCUCUCAUGGAUAUAGCUCUCUUAAGCAAGUGGAAUUGGCGCUAUGCCAAUGAAAGAGAGCCCCUUUGGAAGCAAGUUAUCAGUCAAAAGUAUGGUGAAGAGGAUAGGGGGUGGCGCUCCCGCGAGGUGAGUGAGAGAUAUGGUGUGGGAUUAUGGAAAGCUAUUAGGAAGGAGUAGAAUUAUCUGAGUGGUAGGUUGGCUUACCAAGUGGGUAAUGGGCAGAGAGUGAGAUUCUAGAUGGACAAGUGGUGUGGAGAUGAGCCACGUUAUGAGUCCUUCCCUUCCUUAUUUACCAUUUCUUUGUCUAAGGAAGCUUAGGUGGCGGAUGUUUGGAACCCUGAUGGUAAUGGAGAUGGAUGGACCCCUCUUUUCUCAGGGGACUUUAAUGAUUGGGAGUUCAGGUUGGUGGAGCGUUUUCUGCAAAAAAAUGCAAGCUUUUAGGGUGCACAGGGAUGUGGAAAAUAGAGUGAUUUUGACAGUUUCAAGGUGUGGCAUCUUUUCAGCCAAAUCUCUUUAUUCUAUCUUGAAGUCAGGAAAUUCUCUUUUGUUCCCUAGUGGUAGUAUUUGGAGAUCGAGCACACCUCCUAAGGUGGCUUUCUUUGCUUGGGAGGCUUCUUGGAGGAAAGUCUUAACGUUGGACCAACUUCAAAGGAGGGGGCACUUCUUGACAAAUAGGUGUUUUCUUUGCCUCUCUAAAGUAGAGACGAUUGAUCACCUUCUUCUUCACUGUGAAAAGACUCGGGUUCUUUGGAAUCUUCUUUUCUCCCUCUUUGGUGUGUCCUGGAUUCUUUCUUGUUCAGUGAAGGAAACUCUUCUUAGGUGGCAUGGAUCAUUUGUGGGUAAAACUCGUAAAAAGGUUUGGCAAGCGACCCUUUUAUGUAUAUUUUGGACAAUUUGGAAGGAAAUGAAUUUGUUAGCAUUUGGCAAUGAGGAGAUUUCUGUCAUAGGAUGAUUCAAAUGAGCCUCCCCAUGGGCUUAUAUAGAGCCAGGAAGCUUCUGGAGACUCCUAGAGUGGGAAGAGUGUGGAAGGUUCUAGAGAUGUCUGGAGAAAUCCACACAACUCUACACUAUGGUGGAAGGCAUGAGAGGAGUCCAGGGCUUUCUAGAGAAUUCUAGAGGUCUCUUGUACAUAGGCUUGUACAUAGAAUGAUGUAGGACAUUCUAGAAUAUUCUUGAAUUGUAAGGAACCCUCCAAGGUUCCAAAGAGUUCCAUUGGUGCCUAUAAAUAGAUGAGGGCCUCAUUUGGCCAAGGCACCAAGCAAGUGAGCUUCCAAGCACUUGUAAAUGCUUCCUUGAGUUAAUAAGAGCUUCCAUUCUUUAAAGAGUUGCCUAUUAAGCUUCUUAAGCUUUCGAGUCGUGAGCGUCUUAGCCUAGCAAGCUAAGCAUUGGGAGCAAGACUGACUUAGCAAGAUCAAGCGUCUUGACUUACCUAGUGCCGCACGAGCUUAGUGAACGACUAAGUCCGUGACAAGUGGUAUCAAAGCGCGGUUACGAAGUGGGCAUAGCAAAGGAAGCAUGUCGGGCUCUAACGUGGAGGAGACUAGCGAGCAAACCCGUGGAAGGGAGAUGGAGCAUAUUGCAAGAGGCAGAGGCAUGAAGGAUAAGUCUCGUGAUGCCUUAGCCAACAUGGAGGCAAGGCUAGCCAAGGUGGAGCUAGCCAUGGCGGACACCCGGGAAGGGGUGGACUUGAUUGAGCAAGGCAUGGAGAAGGGCUUAGAGGAUCUAAGGGAGCAGAUCCAAGACCUUCGCGAGGGGGUGCUAGGCUCACAAGUUCAGCCGGUGUCACACGAGGAGUUCAUGUCCUUCCAAGACAAGGUCAUGAGCAUGUUUGCUAGUGUGGGGUCAAGGAUGGGGGCCUUGGCUACGCACAUGGAGACCCGAGACCAAGAGAUUCGUCAAGAGCUGGCCAUCUUCAAGACUGCGGUAUCAGCACGAGUCAUGGCCACUCAUGAGGCACCAAGGGUGGAGGUGCCCAAGCCACACACGUUUAGUGGCAAGAGGGAUGCUAAGGAGCUGGAUAACUUCUUGUGGCCCAUGGAGCGCUACUUUGAGGCCAUCGCACUGACAAAUGAAGCCACUAAGGUACGCACCGCGACCCUCUACCUCACUAAUAAUGCUACUUUAUGGUGGCGUCGACAGUUUGCCGACAUAAAGAAAGGGACAUGCACCAUAAACACAUGGGAUGCCUUUAAGAGAGAAAUCAAAAGGCAAUUCUAUCCCAAAGAUGUGACUUACCUAGCAAGGAUGAAGCGUCUCAAGCACACGGGCUCAAUCCGUGAGUAUGUCAAGGAGUUCUCUACGCUUAUGCUUGAGAUACCCAACAUGUCCGAUGAAGAGCUACUAUUUAACUUCAUGGACAACUUGCAAAGCUGGGCCGAGCAAGAACUGAGGAGACGCGGUGUCCAAGACCUAACCAUGGCCAUGGUAGUAGCAGAGUCCUUGGUAGAUUAUAGAAGGGGAGAUUCCUCCAAGCCUAAGCCACCAUCCAAGGGUAACCAAGCCAAAGGUGGGGGAGACAAGGGAUCACGCGGCUACGCUUCUAAGGAAGGAUCAAGCAAAGGCCCUAGUGGCAAGGAUGGCAAAGGCAAGGAUAAGCGGAAGGAGUUCACGCCCAGGACCAAUUGCUUCCUAUGUGAUGGUCCACACUGGGCGCGGGACUGUCCUAAGAGGAAAGCUCUAAAUGCUAUGAUCGAGGAAAAAGAGCAGGAAGGCGAUGCUCAGGUGGGAUCGUUGCAGCUCCUAAAUGCCCUUAAGGCCAAGCUGAUGCCUAAAACACCUUAAAGCAAAGGGCUAAUGUAUGUAGAGGCCCUUGUGAAUGGGAAGGCCACCAAAGCUCUGGUGGACACUGGUGCCACUCAUAACUUUGUCUCGGAGGAUGAGGCAAAAAGGCUAGAGCUCCAAGCAUCCAAGGAAGGAGGAUGGCUCAAGGCAGUUAAUUCAGCUGCUAAGCCAUCACAUGGAGUAGCUCGCGGGGUGACUAUGCACAUCGGCUCAUGGGAAGGAAGGGUCAACUUCACAGUGGCACCCAUGGAUGACUUCAAGAUGGUGCUAGGAAUGGACUUCCUACAGAAGGUCAAGGCCGUGCCAUUACCUUUCCUGCGCUCAAUGGCUAUCCUAGAGGAGGAGAAGCCGUGAGAAGCCGUGCAUGGUCCCUACGGUCACCAAAGGUACGCCCAAGACCCUUAUGUUAUCAGCUAUGUAAGUUAAGAAGGGGUUAAAGAGGAAAGAGGUGACCUACCUUGCCACCCUAAAGGAAGAAAGGGAUGAUGGGUCAGGAGAACCCAUGCCAAAGGAAAUCAAGGGAGUCCUUGAUGAGUUCAAGGACGUGAUGCCGUCCGAGUUGCCUAAGAGACUUCCUCCUAGGAGAGAGGAAGAUCACAAGAUUGAGUUGGAGUCGGGAGCCAAGCCCCCUACUAUGGGGCCAUAUAGGAUGGCACUGCCUGAGCUGGAGGAGCUAAGGAGACAACUUAAGGAGUUGCUAGACACGAGGUUCAUCCAACCAUCCAAGGCUCCAUAUGGCGCGCCAGUUUUGUUUCAGAAGAAGCAUGAUGGGUCCUUACAGAUGUGCAUAGACUACCGGGCACUCAACAAGGUGAUGGUAAAGAACAAGUAUCCUAUUCCGCUCAUCGCUGACUUGUUCGAUCAACUUGGUAAGGCAAGGUACUUCACGAAACUAGACCUAAGGUCGGGCUACUACCAAGUAAGGAUUGCGGAGGGGGACGAGCCGAAGACUACAUGUGUGACCAGGUACGGCUCAUACGAAUUCUUAGUGAUGCCUUUCGGACUCACCAAUGCCCUAGCAACGUUCUGCACCCUCAUGAGCAAGAUCUUCCACCCAUACUUAGACAAGUUCGUGGUGGUGUACUUGGAUGACAUAGUCAUCUACAGUAACACCCUGAAAGAGCACGUAGGGUAUUUAAGGAAGGUCUUCAAGAUCCUAAGGCAGAACGAGUUAUAUGUGAAGAAGGAGAAGUGCUCAUUUGCUAAGGAGGAAGUGAGCUUCCUAAGGCAUCGCAUCAAAGAUGGCAAGCUGAUGAUGGAUGAUAGCAAGGUGAAAGUCAUCCAAGAAUGGGAUCCACCAACCAAGGUACCUCAACUCAGAUCUUUCCUUGGUUUAGUUAAUUACUACCGGCGGUUCAUAAAGGGUUAUUCGGCAAGGGCAGCUCCACUCACUGAUCUUCUUAAGAAGAAUAAGGCAUAGGAAUGGGACGAAAUGUGCCAACAAGCCUUUGAAGAUCUUAAGAGGGUUGUGACUGAGGAGCCGGUGUUGGCACUACCCAACCACACCAAGGUUUUUGAGGUACACACAGAUGCCUCAGACUUCGCUAUUAGGGGAGUCCUUAUGCAAGAAAGGCACCUAAUCGCAUUUGAGAGUCGCAAGCUAAACGACACGGAGAGGCGUUACACGGUGCAAGAAAAGGAGAUGACCGCCAUCAUCCACUGCUUGCGCACCUGGAGGCAUUAUCUUCUGGGGUCUCACUUCAUAGUGAAGACCGACAAUGUUGCCACUAGCUACUUCCAGACACAGAAGAAGCUAAGUCCUAAACAAGCUAGGUGGCAAGACUUCCUAACCGAGUUCGACUAUACGUUGGAGUAUAAGCCAGAAAGUGCUAAUCAUGUGGCCAACGCCCUAAGCCGCAAAACGGAGCUAGCGUCCAUGACGAGUCAGCCCCAAGGAGACAUAAUGGAUCUUCUAAGGGAGGGACUGCAACAUGAUCCAGUGGCUAAGAGUCUCAUCGCCCUUGCUCAUGAAGGGAAGACUAAGAGGUUCUGGGUGGAGGACGGCCUACUCUACACUAAGGGGAGACGACUCUACGUGCCUAAGUGGGGGAACAUAAGGCGGAAUCUAAUAAAGGAGUGCCAUGACACCAAGUGGGUUGGGCACCCUGGACAACAACGCACGAGGGCACUACUCGAGUCGGCUUAUUACUGGCCUCAAAUACGGGAUGAGGUUGAGGCCUAUGUGAGGACUUGUCUUGUGUGCCAACAAGACAAGAUGGAGCAACAACAACCUAGAGGCCUGUUGGAGCCGUUACCUAUAGCAGAGCGCCCAUGGGACAACGUCACCAUGGACUUCAUCAUUGGGCUACCCAAGUCGGAGGACAGCGGCUCUAUCAUAGUAGUAGUAGACAGGUUCUCUAAGUAAGCAACCUUCAUAGCAGCCCCAACUGACUGCACUGCGGAAGAGACGACGAGGCUAUUCCUAAAGCACGUAGUCAAGUAUUGGGGGUUGCCUAAGUUCAUCAUCAGUGAUCGCAAUCCGCGUUUCACUGGGAAGUUUUGGAUGGAGCUCUUUAAGCUUAUGGGUUCGAAGCUUCACUUCUCCACAAGCUUUCACCCACAGACGGAUGGGCAAACAGAGAGGGUGAACGCCUUACUGGAGCUCUACCUAAGGCACUUCAUGAGCGCCAACCAGAAAGAUUGGGCCAAGUUGCUAGACAUAGCCCAGUUCUCAUACAACCUACAAAGGAGUGAGGCAACCAAUAAGAGCCCGUUCCAGCUAGCCACAGGGCAGCAACCAAUAACUCCUCACACUCUAACGAUAGGCUAUACGGGGAGAAGUCCAGCGCCUUCCAGCGCCUUUUAAGUUCACGAAAGGGUGGCACAAGCAAGCUGACAUAGCACACUCAUAUUUGGACAAGGCCGCUAAGAAAAUGAAGAAGUGGGCUGACAAGAAGCAACGUCACACGGAGUACAAGGACGGAGACAUGGUGCUUGUCAAGCUCCUUCCUCAACAAUUCAAAUCCCUAAGGCCGGUGAAUAAGGGCCUUGUGAGGAGGUAUGAAGGACCAUUCCCCAUACUUGGGAAGGUUGGCAAGGUGUCCUAUAGAGUUGAGCUACCACCGAGGUUGAAGAUUCAUCCCGUCUUCCACGUAAGUUACUUGAAACCCUAUCACAAAGACAAGGAUGAUCCGAGCCGAGGGUUGUCUAAGAGGGCACCUACAACGGUCAUGACCUCCUAUGACAAGGAGAUGGAACACAUCAUUGCAGACCGGGUCAUCAGGAGACGAGGUGUACCUCCUACUAUGGAAUACUUAGUGAAAUGGAAGGGACUACCAGAGAGCGAGGCUAGCUGGGAGCCAGCAAAUGCCCUAUGGCAGUUCUAGGAGCAAAUUGAGCAGUUCCGGGUAGAAGGCGCGACGAGGACGUCUACGGCUUAGGUGGGGGAGAGUGUCACAGGAUGAUUCAAAUGAGCCUCCCCAUGGGCUUAUAUAGAGCUAGGAAACUUCUAGAGACUUCUAGAGUGGGAAGAGUGUGGAAGGUUCUAGAGAUGUCUGGAGAAAUCCACAUAACUCUACACUAUAAUGGAAGGCAUAAGAGGAGUCCAGGGCUUUCUAGAGAAUUCUAGAGGUCUCUUGUACAUAGGCUUGUACAUAGAAUGAUGUAGGACAUUCUAGAAUAUUCUUGAAUUGUAAGGAACCCUCCAAGGUUUCAAAGAGUUCCAUUGGUGCCUAUAAAUAGGUGAGGGCCUCAUUUGGCCAAGGCACCAAGCAAGUGAGCUUCCAAGCACUUGUAAAGGCUUCCUUGAGUUAAUAAGAGCUUCCAUUCUUUAAAGAGUUGCCUACUAAGCUUCUUAAGCUUUCGAGUCGUGAGCGUCUUAGCCUAGCAAGCUAAGCAUUGGGAGUAAGGCUGACUUAGCAAGAUCAAGCAUCUUGACUUGCCUAAGUGCCGCACGAGCUUAGUGAAUGACUAAGUCCGUGACAUUUCGCUCCAAAUAUUGAAAAAUUCUUUCGUAUGUAACCUAUGGUCUGGGGUUAGGGUGUCUGUAGAUUUGAGUCAUUUCUUGCUUGUAAGCUUCAUUGAUUGGUCAGGCUCUAAGUAAGGGUAGGUGAUGUUUUUUGUUUCUAUCCCUCCCCCUCUGGUUUGAACCUUUUGGCUUCUUUUGUAUACUUUGAGGGUAAUGUUUUUGGUGUCCCCUCUUUCUUUUUAUACAACUUUUCUUUACCUAUCAAAAAAAAAAAAAACCAGUAAGAUUGUUUCUAAUGAAGCAAAGGCAUUGCUGGAAAACUUUUCAAAGGUAAUUCCUAUAGAGCUGCCAAGUGGAUUGCCUCCAAAAAGAAGCAUUCAACACCGUACUGAUCUAGUACCAGGGGCCAACCUACCAAACCUACCACAUUAAAGAAUGCCUCCACAAGAACAUGAAGAACUUCAAAGACAAAUGGAAGAGUUGCUGCAGAAGAGAUACAUAAGGAAAUCAAUGAGGCCAUGUACAGUUCCAGCACUAUCAACUCCAAGGAAAGAUGGGUACCUAGAGAAUGUGCAUCGAUAGUCGGGCAAUAAAUCGGAUAACAAUAAAGUAUUGAUACCCGAUCCCAAGACUAGAUGAUAUGCUGGAUAUGUUGCAUGGAGCAAAGGUAUUUUCUAAAAUUGAUCUUAAAAGUGGCUAUCACCAAAUUAGGAUCCAGGAAGGCAAUGAGUGGAAAACCGCUUUCAAAACUAAACAUGGACUUUAUGAAUGAAUUGUGAUGCCUUUUGGUUUGUCAAAUGCACCUAGCAUAUGUAUGUGUUUGAUGAAUCAAAUUCUAAAGCCAUUCAUUGGAAAGUUUGUGGUGGUGUAUUUUGAUGAUAUACUUAUUUAUAGCCCAUCCAAGGAGUCUCAUUUGCAACACCUAAAGGGAGUAUUAGAAGUUCUCAAAAGAGAAAAGCUUCAUGUCAAUAUAAAGAAGUGCAGAUUUUUCACUAAUUCUUCGUUGUUUCUGGGAUAUAUAGUUAGUGCUGAAGGGAUAAAAGUUGAUGUCAGUAAGAUUGAAGCAAUUAGAAGCUGGCCAAUACCAAAAACAGUGGGAGAAAUGUGCAGUUUUCAUGGUUUAGCCUCAUUUUAUAGACGCUUCAUCAAGAAUUUCAGCACCAUAAUUGCUCUUGUAACCGAUUGCAUGAAGAAAGGGAGGUUUCAAUGGUCAGAACAAGUUGAAGAAAGUAUUCAAAAGAUUAAAGAGAUGCUCAGCUCAGCCCCGGUACUAGUGCUGUCAGAUUUUAAAAGGGUGUUUGAAGUAAAGUGUGAUGCUUCUGGAAUUGGGAUUGGAGUUGUUCUGAGUCAAGAAGGCAGGCCUGUGUCAUUUUACAAUGAAAAAUUGAAUGACAAAAGGAGAUAUAGCACUUAUGAUAAAGAAUUGUAUGCCAUCAUUCAGGCUCUUAAGCAUUAGGAGCAUUACUUGAUACAGCACGAAUUUAUUUUGCAUACAGAUCAUGAAGCUUUAAAGCAUCUCAACAGCCAGCAAAAGUUAAGCAAGAGGCAUGCCCAUUGAGUUUCUUACUUGCAACGAUUCACAUUUGUGAUAAAGCACAAGUCCGAAGCAAGUAACAAAGUGGUAGAUGCACUUAGUCAAAGAAGUUUGUUGUUGACUAGUAUGACUAUUACUGUUAAGGGUUUCGAUUUCUUUAAGAUCUUUCUCCUGCUGACCCUUUCUUUGGUUCAAUUUGGAAGGAUCGUACUAAUGGGCAGUCAGAAAAGUAUUUGUUGCAUGAUGGCUUCCUAUUCGAAGGGAAUCAACUUUGUGUUCCAGAUUGCUCUUUGAGGGAAAAGAUCAUUCAAGACAUGCAUGGUGGAGGCUUACGAGGACAUUUUGGGCAAGAUAAGACAUAUGCUAUGAUUGAACAAAAGUUCUUUUGGCCAAAAAAUGAGGAGGGAUGUUUACAAAUAUGUUAAAAGGUGUCAAACAUGCCAAGAAUCAAAGGGAAAAGUUCAAAAUACAGGUUUGUACACUCCACUACCAGUUCUUGCAGCUCCUUGGGAAGAUGUAAGUAUGGACUUUGUGAUGGGAUUACCUAGAAGUAAACGGGGAAUGGAUUCCAUCUUUGUGGUGGUCAACAGAUUUUAAAAAGACUAUGGAUGCAUCAAAUAUAGCAAAUCUCUACUUUAGAGAGGUUGUGAGAUUGCAUGGAGUCCCAAAAUCAAUCACCUCAAAUCGAGACUCCAAGUUUCUCUCUCAUUUUUUGAGAACUUUAUGGAAGAAGUUUGGAACCAGGUUGUAGUAUAGUACUUCUUAUCAUCCUCAAACAGAUGGACAAAUUGAGGUUGUCAAUAGAAGUUUGGGUGAUUUAUUGAGGUGCCUGGUUGGAGAAAAUCACAAGUAAUGGAACGUUGUGGUUGCACAAGCAGAAUUUGCCUUAACUAUUCCAAGAAUUGAACUACAAGUAAAAGUCCUUUUUAAGUUGUUUAUGGAAAGCGGCCAUUGCAUAUUUAUGAUUUAGCUCCUUUACCAGAAAUGGGAAGAAAUAGCUUAAAGGGUGAAAACAUGGCUGACUUAAUGAAAAAACUACAUGAAGAAACCAGAUUGAAGAUUGAGGAGUCAAAUGCAAAGUAUAAGAAAUAUGCAAAUCAAAAGAGGCACAACCAAAGCUUUCAAGAGGGUGACAUGGUGAUGGUAUACCUACGCAAGGAAAGAUUUCCAGCUGGCUCUUAUUCCAAGCUAAGUAAAAGAAAGAUAGGACCUUACAAAAUCAUCAAGAAGAUUGAGGAGAAUGCUUAUGUGGUAGACCUGCCAAAACAUAUGGAAAUAGAUUCAACAUUUCAGAUAUAUAUUCGUACACUAGUGAGAGUGUAAAAGAGGUUUCCAGCAGCACCAAACUUGAGCACGAGCAUCUUCCAAGGAGGAGAAAAUGAUGCAGUAAUUAAUAGGCAAUUUAUAGCAAGUUUGAAAAUAUCAAAAUUUGCAUGGGAAAUGUUUAUUAUUAAAUUAGAAGUCAAAGGGUCAGUUUUUUGUUAUUAAAGGCUACUAAUUGUGUCUUGGAACCUUUAGAAAGUAGCUGAGGAUUAUUAUAAAAUGGAAGAACUUGCUUAUUGUAAGGACUUUUGCUGAUUAUCCCAAAAAAAAUAGAAGAAGUGAUUAACUAUUAUAGCUUUUCAGUUUUCAUCACCAAGGUUCUACCUCAUUGUCACCUAGUCAAGAACCUUCAUCAAAAAUGGAUCAAAGGGAAGUUAAUGCAGCUGCCAUGUCAACGUAGGUUUAUUCUAGGUGAAAAAAAUUCGGAUCUAAUCAAAUGUAAGUUCAAGAGUCUAAACCCAAGCCAAGUAAUGAACACACAAACUCCACUAAUCCUAUUUUAGGUGUUAUUUCUCCUACUACUUCAAAUUUAUUGCUUUCACUAGAAACUCAUGAUCAAUUCAUUCAAAAUGAAGAUUCAAAAGUGUUUCAUGAUCUCCUUCUACCAACUGCCUUAGGAAAGCUACUAGAAAAUGCACUUAAUACCCAAUUUCCAAUUUCAUUUCAUAUGAGAAGCUAUCCCCAUCACAUAGAGUUUUCCUUACCCAAUUAACUCCCAUUGAAAUUCCUCCAAUAGUCCAAAAAGCACUUAGAAUUGAAAAUUAGAGGAAAGCCAUGGAAGAGGAGAUGUGAGCUCUUAAGAAAAACCAACUUGGGAAAUAGUUGAAUUACCAAAGGAAAAAAAAACCGAUUCGAUGUAAAUAAGUAUUUACAGUUAAAUAUAGAGCUAAUGGGGCAGUGGAGAGAGAUUUAAGGCUAGGUCGGUGGUCAAGGGGUAUAUGCAAACUUAUAGGCUGGACUGCCAAGAAACCUUUGCUCUAGUAGCAAAGAUGAAUAACAUUCGUAUAUUACUAUCCUUGGCAACUAACUUGGGUUGGUCUUUGCUACGACUUGAUGUUUAAGAAAGCAUUCUUGCAUGGUGAUUUAGAGGAAGAAGUGUAUAUGGAAACACCAUUGGGGUUUCGAUAGAGGCUUCAAGAGAAACAAUGUUUGCAAGCUAAGAAAAGUGCUUUAUGGCCUUAAACAAUAUCCCCGAUCAUGGUUUGGAAGAUUUGUAAAAGCCAUGAGUGAUAUGGAAUUUUAACAAGGCCAAGGAGAUCAUACACGCUUUUUCAAAUGCUCAUAUAUGGGUAAACUUACUACUCUCAUAGUUUAUGAUGAUGGCAUAAUUGUGACAAGAGAUGACUUAGAGGAAAUGGAAAGACUCAAGAAUUAACUAGCUAAAUAGUUCAAAAUAAAAGACUUGGGAAGACUCAAGUACUUUUUGGGGAUUGAAGUGGCUCACUCAAAGAAGGGCAUCUUUAUCACUCAACAGAAGUACAUUCUAGAUCUGCUUAAGGAGACAAGUAUGAUUGGUUGUAAGCAUACUAACACCUCUAUCAAACAAAAUAAUAAGUUAAGGGAAGCUUAAGAAGAUGCAGUAGUCGAGUGUAGAAUGUAUCAAUGUUUAGUUAGGAAGUUGAUCUACUUAUCGCACACAAGGUCACAUAUAGUCUAUGAUAUUAGUGGAGUAUGCCAAUUCAUUUAUUCUCCCAAGGAACUUCAUCUAAAAGUGAUAUAUAGGAUUCUACACUACUUGAAAUCUACACCAAGAAAGGGAAUUUUAUUUCAGAAAAAUGAAAAGUUAAGCCUAAGGGCAUACACUGAUGUGGAUUGGGUAGGAUCAAUGGUGAUCAAAAAUCUACCUCCAGUUUUGUACACUCUUAGGUGACAACUUAGUGACAUGGAGAAGUAAAACGCAAUCCAUGGUGGCUCGAUCAAGUGCAAAAGCAAAGUUUAGAGCUAUGGCACAUGGGAUUUGUGAGCUAUUAUGGAUUAAGAUUAUCCUUGAUGAUCUAAGAAUUAAGUGGGAAGGGAAAAUGAAGUUAUACUAGGACAACAAAUUAACAAUCAAUAUUGUUUACAAUCUGUUACAGCAUGACCAAGCAAAGGAAAUAAAAGUAGAUCAACACUUCACCAAGGAAAAACCUGAUAGUGGUAUGAUCAGCAUACCCUAUGAUUCAACAAAAAGGGCAGCUCUCAGAUGUGUUGACCCAAGGAUUGGCUAGUCAUCAAUUUCAAAUGAUUACAUGCAAGCUGAGGAUGGAUAACAUCUAUUCUCCAAAUUGUGGGGGAGUGUUAGCAAAUUCUUAGGAAUCUAAUUGUGAUCUUAGCCAAUGAAAUGAUUUUGUAUUUUUUUCUUUCCACUUUUUUUCUUAGAAGAAUCGGAUCCCUGAUUUAUGGGAGAGAUUGUAGAAUGACAGAUGGAAGGUGAAUCAGAUUCUGAUUUAUGGGAGAGAUUGUAGGAUCAUAGGUGGAAGGUGCAUCUUUCCUAUUUUGGUGUCUAGGGUAAUUGUGCAUAAAUAGAAUGUCCAGAUUGUAUUCCAAUUCAAUACAAUUCAAGUGAAACAGAAUUUGUUUCACCUCUAAAUUUAAAUACCCAAAUUCUAUAGAAAGAUCUAUUUCCCCCAUUUCACGAAGACCACCAAACCUUUCAGAUCUAAUAUUAGAAAUAGAACAAGAAAAGGGGAAAAAACAUGCAUGCAUCACUUAAUUUAAAUAAGUAAAAAAAUUGUUAAAAUGACAGCUUUUGUAGCUAUAUAACAAAUGUAAAUAAAAUAUAAUUACACUCAGGUAAAGUAUAUGCCUCAUUAAACCAAGAUGUGAAAAUGAAAAUAUCUUUAAUCUAACCCCAUUAGAGUAACAACAUGUAUUCUUCACAGGUAAAGUGAGACAGGAAAAACGACCUUGUCAGCCAACCGCUGUACAGGAGCUUCCCUACUCUGUGCUGCUUCCACCAGGCGGACAAUGUCUCCCAUAGCAGUUUCACCACCUGGCCUCCGCACUUCAACUCUAAGAGUUCCAUUUAGGUUUAUGCUCCCUGCUGAAACUUCAGCCUUGCAGAGAGAGGAAAAAAAAACCCAUGAUAAUAUGACUGUGCAAAAAAGAGACCAAUUUUUUACACUAAACUAAGUGCCCCUACUUAUGAAACAAUAAAUAAAUAAAAACAAAAGAAAGAAGCCAACUUCCAAGAAGAGUAAGCAUGUUAGCAUGCACCCAGCUAUUAGAUGCCAUCUGAAUUCAAAUAUAAACUUUUUUCUUUUCUUUUCUUUUUUUUCUAAUUUUUCUUUAGCAUCCAACUAGGGGUGUUUUGCAGAAAACAGUAGUUAUAUGUAAUAGACUAGUACCCCAGGUAGUUUUGUCACAGGCAAAGGCUCCCCUGUGAAACUUGACUCAUCAACUGUGCUUCUACCAGCCCUGACAAUUCCAUCUGCUGGAACACGGUCCUGAACAGAGAAAACAUGUUCAAAAGGAUUCAAAUUGAAGGUCACAGGAAAAGAAUCAUGAAGACAAAUUAGAAAUAUAGUAUCCUGAACUGGAUAAAGUUAAAAACCAUCAGUAACCUAGUUUCUGCAUUAGUUGUAAAGGAACAACAAAACUGUGCAUAAAAGCAGACAGAAAUGAAGGUCAACAACCAUGAAAAAAUAUAACACAAUAACUCUUCUUAGAGCCUUUCAAUGCAAGAAAACACAAGGAACAAAAGAUCAAAAGAAGAGGAAAGUACACACAAUAAGAUGGAAAAGGAAAAAUAAAUAAAUACAUAAAAAGUAUACAUCUUACUUACACCAGGUAGCACAACAAUUUGAUCACCAACAGAAAGAUUGUUGCAAGGAACUUCAACAGUAGAACUAAAUUCUUCUGAAUCUCCAUUAAUAAAAAGACGAGCUUUUGCUGGUAAAAUACUCAGAAGGCCUGUCAUAUCACUGGUAGCUUUAAUUUUAGCUCUCUGUUCCAGAUUCCUUCCUAGCAAGACAAAUGCUAUUAACAUGAUUGGUUCUUCAAAAAAUGCCUUCCAGCCCUGCACGAACAACAUAUUCAUUCAACAGACAACAGCAUCAACCAACUUUGUCUUCCACAAGCUUACUUUCCAUUUCAAGGCAACUACUACCCUAUAUCCUAAAGAAUGAAAUGAAGAAUGCAUUCUUUAUUCAAGGACAUGAAAUACAAAAAUUCAAGUUCUCUAACACUGCCUCAACAAAUCCAAUUCCAAUAGCAAGAUGAAAAAGGGGAAUUUAGUACAUGAUUUAGUAUAACCCUUCAUUCGAGGUCCAUGAUGGUAACAUUUUUAUUUUAUUUUUUUGAUAAGUAGGUCCAUGAUGAUAACAUAAUCAUAUAAGACCUAUUUUACAAUGAAAUUUUGUUGUCAUUGGGACAAGUAAAACAUAGAUCACUGAAAUACCAUCUCAUUGAAUCAAUGAUAAUCAAAAUCAACUCAACAAAGCCUUAAACCUACUAGGGAUCAGCUAAAUGAAUUAUUUUUCAACACUGAGCUCUAUCUAUAGUCAUAUGCACAGUCAUAUCCUUGACAAUCAAGUCAUAUAUCACCAUCUCUGCCCACAUCCUUUUUGCUUUUGAUAUGAUCUUAUCAUUUCAAUCAACACUCUUCCGUGCAUUUUUUUGUUCUUUGUUACACAUGCCCACACAAUUUUAGUUCAUUGUUGCACAUGGCCAAAUGAACUUAAAAAAUAUACAGCAUGAAAUUACAUGCACCAGAAUUUUUCACUUUUGAUAAGAGAGCAAAAUAAUGAUCCAUUAGAAAUGCCUCAAUGGGGCCCAAUCCAAAUGCAUAGGAUGUGCACAUGGACCACCAAACGAAGUAAAGGAUGGGAGCAAAUGGCCAUCAAGGAGAGGCUUAGGCCACCGUAGCCUAUCAAUGAAAUCUAUAAUUGACAAACUUCCCUUCCCGAGGAAGUCUUGACACCAAGAAAAUGAAGAACCAGUUUAGUGGUAGAAAUAAAAUGGUUCUUUGGAAAAAGCUUUCAUUUUAUAAAAACUAAUUCUUUCUUGGAACAUUUUCAACUUUAAAAAGUUCUUGCAUUUUUAGAAAACAUCAAAAUAGGUCAUUUUCAAGAAAUGUUUUGAACGAUGAUUUUCCAAAAAAUGCUAUCAAAUGGGUGUUUUGUGUCAUCACUUUUUGGUUUUCAACAGCAGAAAACAGUUCACACUCCAGCUACCAAACAUUGUCCAAGAUUCAGGAAUGUCUCUUUCAACUUUAAUUCUGAAACAUUUAGCCUUUCAAAGAUUCUCCAAUACUAUUUCUGCAGAAAAUAAUGAUGCAUCCAGAACAAAGAAUGUAAGAUGGACUGUGGUUUCAAAAACAAUAAAAUUUACCCAGAAGAUACAAAACAAUAGGGAAAACUACCAAGUCACUUGUCACAUUAUAUACUAGAUACUCAUCAAUCGAUAUGCAAUCACACCAAAUAUAUGGAAUUACAACUAUCAGAGACAUGGAUUAUUAAUUACCAAUUCAGGUAUCAAGGCAGCUAAUGAACUGACGGAAAAUGAUGAUACAGCGCCAAGACCAACUAAUGUGUUCAUGUUUGGAGCCCCCUUAAGAAAGCUUUUCAGACCAUCGAGAAUAAGUCCACGUCCAGGGCCAAGCAAUGUAAAUAAAGACAAGGACAGAUGAAAUCCUGUGGAAUGAAAUGCAUGGAUCCAUGAAGCCUUGGUCCCAAGGAAAUGAGAAAGAUGACCAAAGAGGCAUACAGCACAUAAAGCCCAGGAGACGGCAAGCUCACGACCUAUAAAAUUUCAAGCAAUUAGCCUCACAGGUUGCUGAAGAUGUAUUGAUAUCAGAUCAUGAUAAGUUUCAUAAGAGUCAUCCAUAAAGCUCUAGAGAGAGUUAAAUGAGUAAAACAAAAAUGUGCCCUUUUGCCAAAUAAAGGAAAUAAAAAGAAGCUUACCACUUUCUUUUAACUUGUUGCGCUUUUCAUCCAUCUUUCUCUCAAACACUUUGAAGAAAUUGUCUCUCACAGAAUCUGCACAUUAACAAUCUCUCAAGCUUUUAUAUACAUCCCUUGAUAAGGUUGUUAACAUAUAACCAAGUUAAAUCCACUUGGAGUGCAGAUGAAAGACAGGUUACCUUAUGUGCAAGCAAAAUUUUAAGCUUUUGGCUUAUUUAAGAAUUCAAUCAAUCCAAAAGUGGGAGCAACUAGAGGAAGUUUAAAGAAGUUUAAUAAAAUAUUAGGUAGGAAGGUUUUAAUCUUUCAUACAGAUAAACUUCAUACAGCCCUUAAGUAAGAAUAUUUAUGGUAGUUUUGGAAAGUACAAAACCCUGUUGCAUCAGACAAAGGAAAGUUCACAAGAAAAUCCUUGUCCCUACUUCUCCUUAUCAUGAGAUUUAACUUAUUCCUUACAAAGGCAUGGUAUACAAUCUUUGAUAUAAAUAGGUAUUGAACACCAAAAAUAAUAUUGAAUGAGAGACUCCAGAGAAACAGAAAGAGGAUAGAAUCUGAGGCAUCCUUAACCCAAAGAAGAAAGAAACAAAGAGCAAAAAAUACUCAGAAAAUGAAACAGCAAUCCAGGGCAUAUCUUCAACUAGACUAUCCAAAUUAUAAAUAGAGUUCUAGAUCCAAACUUUAAAAAUACUGCCUGCAUCUUCAGAUAAAGAAAACUAUUUUUAUCACCAUGAAGAUGGAAACCACUUUAUAGUUGGAUUAAACAUCAUGCAAAAAUAAAAAAACCCAAACACAUGGAGCUUUCUUUUUAUUUCGAAUUUAUAUAUUACAUAAUAAAGCCAAGUGUCCCUACUUAUAAAUAUGUCACAAAGAAAGUAGUAAAAAAAAAUAUGCCCUUAUCUUUCACCCUCCAACACAGGACCAAAACCAAAAUUUGCCUGGUGUAUCAGAUAUUCUCCCAUGACCGAAAAAUUAAAAAAUUGAAAAAAAAAAAUCAGUCAUCUUAUAAUCAAAAGAAGCACCAGAAAUUCAAAAACAGAACAGGAGAAUUUACACAAACCAAAUUUUGCAACAUUUGACAAACUGUUAACAAACAUUACACUAAUUGGAGAGCAUGCAGCUAUUGCUAAUUACUAUUUACAAAUUUCAUUCUCCAUGGAGAAGAGUAUGUUAGGACAUAUAUUAGAAAAUCUAUCAGUCAAAAUUCCAGCAAUUUAUGCCUUCAAAUUUAAGCACAGAGGUAGAUCUUCAAAUUCUACAAGAGCAUGAUUUGAUGAGCUUCACGAUAACAACAGACCGAAGUCACAUUCAUAAUGUAAAACAGAUUUCAAAUGUUAAACAAAAGUAAAACAAAACAAAUGUUUCCCAAACUGAAUAUGGUAAAAUAUUGGAUGUCAAUGGAAUUGCAGUGCUACACGCACUUGUGUAAUUUACAUUUAUUAGCAUAUUUAAUGACUCAGUUGGGCAUGUCCUAAUAUGGUCCUACUAUAUUAGGACAAUAUAGUGUAGAACCUACAAUUUUGUUGGGAUUAAUUUGUUUCCUUGUAUAGAUUCUAGAGUCAAAAGCUUGUUUAAUAUAUAGCCUUGUAACAAGACCUUAGAAGAAAUGAGAAAAGAAUCAAGACCUGUUUGGUAACUGUUUUUUAAAACAAUUUUUGAAAAUUGUUCUCUGAUGUUUUGUAGAACAAAAAUCUAUUUGAAAACCUAAAAUGUUUUUAAUCUGUUUUUAAUAUUUUUAAAUAUGUUUUAAAAAUAAUUUUUAUAUCUAAUGUUUUAUUUUUAAUCAUUCUAUAUGUUUGUAUAAUUAUUUUUUUAAACAAUUAUUAAAAAACAAGAAAAAACAAUUAAAAAAAUUUCUCUUAAAACAUUGUUUUCUGUUCUUAAGAACAGAAAACAAAAAACAGUUUUUGAUUGCCAAACGUGUUUUCCUGUAUUUUUGUUUUGGAGAACAGAUAACUAUUAUCAAAAAUAGUUACCAAACAGACCCUUAGUUUCUCUCCUGUUUCCUCUAACUUCAACAUGGUAUCAAAGCCCAUCUAUGGUUUCUAGGAGUUCUAUUUAAAAUUAUUCUUUUGGUGGCCUUCAUUGCCAUCACAUCUCACCCUAGCAGCCUUUAUUGGUUUCACUUUCAGCACUGUUUGGGAAGGUUUUCCUAACCUAUUUCACAAUGUUAUUUGAUCUACCAUUAUCACUCAUGUCUAAAACAUCUAAGUCUAUUACGUUAAUCAAUAUGUCAUCCUCCAACCAAAAGCUUUCAUCCUCAAUGAAAACUCAACCCUUCAAAUCACCACUUCCAAGUUGAAUGGGAGAAACUUCAUGGAGUGGUUACAAUCAGCAAAGAUAUCAUUGAAGAGCAAGAGAAAUGAAGUAUGUGAUGGGGACUGCAAAACCACUAGCAGAGGAUGACUUGAAAUAUGAAGUUUGGGAUGCAGAGAAUUCCAUGGUGAUGUCAUGGUUGCCCUACUCUAUGCAACCAGAAAUCAAUAAGACCUAUUGCUCCUACCUACUACUUAAGACAUUUGGGAAGCAGUGUCAAAAACCUACUCCAAGGCAUGUGUUUCUUCUCAAAUAUUUGAGUUGAAACAGCAGAUAAUUAACACCAAGCAAGGGUCCUCAGGUGUUACAAAGACUACAAUACUCUCAAAGGCUUGUUGCUGGAACUAGAUUUAUGCCAGAACCUGUACAUGGAAUCAACCACUGAUACAAAGAAAUUGAAAGAAAUAAUGAAAAGGGAGAGAGUACCCCAAUUUUUGGUAGGUCUUAGUCAAGAGAUUGAUCAGGCCAGUGGUCAAGUAUUAGGCAGAGAACUGUUUUCAUCUAUGGAUGAAGCAUUUGCUCAUGUUCGAGGGGAAGAGAGUUGUAAGGAACUAAUGGUUGGAAAUUCUAGAAAUCCUAUAUCUGAAAAUUCAGCUCUAAGAGUCUCUAAACCACCCCUUCUAUCGCUAGAAAAUAUAAGGGAGAAAGCAAGAGGAUGGUGGACAAGGAUAAAUUAUGGAGUAAUUAUUGUCAUAAACCAAGACAUACUAGAGAGAUGUACUGGAAAUUGCAUGGGAAACCUCAAAACUUGAAUGGAGUUAGCAACAAAGGAGAAUACCACACAGCAAAAUCUGGAGAAGCCCACCAAACAACUGCUAUAGAGUAUUCUCAAGAGGCUACAAUGUUCAGCCAAAGCAACAUUGAGAAGCUAAGAAGGUUGUUAAACUAGUUUGAGAAACAAGCCUUGAACUCAAUUCCAAUUUUGAGUUCUUGUUCCAUGGCUCAAUCAGGUAAUAGCUAUACCUUAGUUACCUCCGAAAAUGACUUUCUUACUACAUGGAUCAUUGAUUCAGUUACUUCAGACAUGACUAGCUCCUCAAAAAUUUUCUCUACAUAUUCUCCUUGUUUAGGAAAACAAAAAAUCAAAGUGGUCGAUGGAUCCUUCUCUCCUAUAGUUUGGAAAGGAAAUGUCAAAAUAUCAUCAAUUUUAUCUCUAAAACUUGUCCUUCAUAUUCCAAAUCUAUCUUACAAUUUGUUGUCCAUAGGAAAAUUCACUAAAGACCUAAAUUAUUUUGUUCUAUUCAUUUCCACUGGUUGCAUUUUUCAGGACUUUGUUACAGGGAAGAUGAUCAGGCAUGUUGAGUUAAAAGAUGGGCUCUACUACUUAGAAGCAAAUCUGGGGAAUACGAAUCUAAGGUCUCAAGGCUUCGUUUAUACUACCUAUCAAAAGAGGAAAGAUCACGUUUGGCUAUGGCAUAGAUGUUUAGGACAUGCUCUAAUUUCUAUGCAGAAAAAGUCACUUCCUUGUUUGAAAACGAUAAUGUAGAAAAUUUCAAUUGUAAAAUUUGUGAGUUUGCCAAACAUCAUCGUGUAUCUUUUCCUUUGAAAACUCCAAAACUUUUAUCUCAAUUUAGUUUGAUAGAUUCCGAUGUUUGACAUCCUUGUGUUAAUAACACUUCUAGUUCUAGACAGUUUGUCACCUUAAUAUAUGAUUGUUGUACUCGAACUACUUGGGUAUUAUACCUGGUGAAAUCUAAAUUUGAGGUUUCAACAAUUUUCCCUACCUUCCAUAAAUUCAUAAGCACUCAAUUUGGGGCAAAAAUACAUACACUAAGAUCCAAUGAUGGCAAAGAAUACUUUAAUGAAGACCUCAUCACCUAUCUUUAAAAGGAGGCCAUUUUUUAUCAUUCAUCUCAAAAUGGGGUAGUGGAUAGGAAAAACCAACAUCUUCUUGACAUUGCUAGGCCACUUCUUUUCCAAAUGAAAGUCCUAAAAAUUUAUUCAAGGAAAGCUAUUCUUACAACUGCAUAUUUGAUAAACCGAAUGUCAUCUCGUGUUCUUGAAUGCCUAUCUCCCAUGAGUAAACUCUCAACUUUGUUUCCUAAUUUCCAAGGGUUUGGGUCACUCUAUCUUCAAAAAUAUUUGGGUGUGUUUGUAAUGUGCACAUUCAUAAUCACUAGUGGGGGAAAUUUGAUCCUAGAGCUAUUAAGUGCUUGUCUCUAGGCUAUUCAUCGACGCAAAAAGGAUACAAAUAUUAUUAUCCUCCAAAAAAAUAGAAAGAAAAUAUGUCACUAUGAAUGUUACCUUCGUGGAAAAUCAAGCAUACUUUGGGAACACCUAUCNNNNNNNNNNNNNNNNNNNNNNNNNNNNNNNNNNNNNNNNNNNNNNNNNNNNNNNNNNNNNNNNNNNNNNNNNNNNNNNNNNNNNNNNNNNNNNNNNNNNNNNNNNNNNNNNNNNNNNNNNNNNNNNNNNNNNNNNNNNNNNNNNNNNNNNNNNNNNNNNNNNNNNNNNNNNNNNNNNNNNNNNNNNNNNNNNNNNNNNNNNNNNNNNNNNNNNNNNNNNNNNNNNNNNNNNNNNNNNNNNNNNNNNNNNNNNNNNNNNNNNNNNNNNNNNNNNNNNNNNNNNNNNNNNAUUCUGGUGUUAGUGUUAGUACUAACCUUGGUCCUGGUUCCAUUCAUAGCACACUCGGUUCCACUUUUGGUACAAGCAUAAAUUAUGGUCCCAUUGAGUCUUUCAGUCAUGAUUCCCAUAGCCAAAAAUCCAUCUAUUGAGUCCAUUGAACCAACUAAGAUUUCAAGUACUGCAAAGUUUCCGAAGAUCAAGAAUGAGAGGCCUAAAACUCCUGUCUCCAAUGUGUAUUCCAAAAGGAAGGAGUCUACAAUCACCUCACAUGUUCCAAUCUUUGACCUUGUGACAGGUAAUGAAAAUGAAACUCAAGCUUUUGACACUAAUAAUGAUUUGAAUUUGCCUAUAGUCAUCAGGAAAGGAAUUAGGUCAUGCACCCAUCACCUUAUCUCUCAAUUUGUUUUUUUUUUUUUUUCAGCAUCUUUGACCUCAGUUUAAGGCCUUACUCAAAUAUCCUCUCAUGAAGUUCCUUCUACCAUCCAAGAAGCUAUCAUGUUAAAGCCAUGGAUGAGGAAACGAGAGCCUUGGAAAAAAAUUGAACUUUGCAAGAUAGUGGAGAUACGAACAGGGAAGAAAACUAUAGGGUGUAAACGUAUCUUCAACAUUCAAUACAAAGCCAAUGGCACCUUGGAGAGCUACAAAGCAAGAUUGGUUGCUAAAGGAACAUAUGGCAUUGAUUCCUACCUUUGCUCCAAUAGCCAAGAUGAACACUAUUAGAAUUCUACUUUCAUUGGCAACAAAUUUUGACUUGCCCCUACAACAAUUUAGUGUAAAAAUUACUUUCCUCCAUACAGAUCAAGAGGUGGAAGUAUACAUGGAUAUCCUUCCAAGAUAUGAAAAGGAGUCAUGGAAAAAUAAGGUAUGUAAACUCAAAAAAAUUCACUAUAUGGUCUUAAGCAAUUGCCUCAAACAUGGUUUGGAAAACUUAUGAAAGCUAUGGUGCAGAGAGAUUAUCAUCAAAGCCAAGGUGAUCACACAUUAUUUAUCACACUCUAAUCUAGGGAAAAUUACAAACAUUGAUUGUGUAUGUUGAUGAUAUUGUUAUCACUGGAAAUGACCAAGAAGAGAUUAUAGGACUGUAAUCAUGCUUAGCUAAAAAAUUUGGAAUCAAGGACUUGGGCAAGCAUCAAUCCUUCCUUCGCAUUGAGGUGGGUAGAUUAUAGUAAGGAUUAUUGAUUUCUCAACAGAAGUAUAUACAAGAUUUUACUUAAAGAGAGGUAUGCAUGGGUGUAAACCAACCAAGUCACAUACUAAAUAGAAUCACAAACUAAAAGAGAAAUUUGAAGGUUAACUGAUUGACCAAGGUAACUACCAACUGAUGGUUGGAAAGCUAAUUUACUUGUUGGACACGAGACCAAACAUUGCAUAUUCUGUGAGUGUGAUAAGUCAAUUUAUUCAUACUCCACUUAAACCCCACUUAGAAGUUGUAUACCAAUUUUAAGAUAUCUGAAGGCAACUCUUAGCGAGGGUCUCUGGUUUAAGAAGUGUAAAGAGGAAGUUGGAAGCCUACAUAGAAGUAGAUUGGGUCAAACCUAUUAUGAAUAGACAAUCAACUACCAGAUAUUGAACUUUCUUAGGAAGUAAUCUUAUCACUUGGAGAAGUGAAAAACAAUCAAUAGUAGUUCAUUCAAGUGUGAAAGCAGAAUUUUUUUUUUUUGAUAAGUAAGCAUAUAAUAUAUUGAAAAGAGGCCAAAAAGCCACACGCAUACAGGGAGUAUACAAUCUAGCUAGAGCCUCAAAAAACACAGAGAAAACAAAAAACAACAAAAAGCCCACCAGCCCUUAUAUGGCGGCUAUCCACUCCAGGGAUCCUAUAAGAGACAACGACCUNNNNNNNNNNNNNNNNNNNNNNNNNNNNNNNNNNNNNNNNNNNNNNNNNNNNNNNNNNNNNNNNNNNNNNNNNNNNNNNNNNNNNNNNNNNNNNNNNNNNUUUUUUUUUGAAAAGGAAGCCUUUUAUUUUUUGAAAAGGGGCCAAAAAACCCCCCCCCACCCGGGGGUUUUCAAUUUUGGUUGGGCCCCAAAAAACCCCGGGAAAACCAAAAACCACAAAAAGCCCCCCCGCCCUUUUUAGGGGGGUUUCCCCCCCCGGGGUUCUUAAAAGAAAAAACGCCUUUUUCCCAUUAAACUUUUUCCCCCUCCCCAAAAAAAAACAAAAAAAAAAUUUUUUAAUUUUUGGAUAUUUAACCCCCCCCCCCCCCCCCCCCUAAAAGCAAGCCUAUUUCUUUCCUUCCAAAGAGUCCAAAAGAUGUACAACGGUAUAGACUUCCAUAUCUUUUUCCUUUUUUUCCCUACAAAAGGGCCCCUCCAGCUUAAUAGGACCUCCUUUACAGUUUUUGGAAAGACCCACUUAACACCAACCAAAGCACAUAUCAUAUCCCACAGGACUCUUGCCACUAUACAAUGUAUGAGUAUGUGAUUUACAGUUUCCUCUUCACAUCCACACAAGAAGCACUGAUUAGGGAGAUGCCACCCUCUUCUCUGGAGCCUAUCAAGCGUGAGCACCUUGCCCCAAGUAGCUUCCCAAGCAAAAAACAAAAUUUUUGUUUGAACUUUAUCCACCCAAAUGUUGUUCUUCGGAAAAUUGUUAGCCACAGAAUUUACCACCAAGUUAUAGGUUUCUUUAACUUUAAACUUUCCAUUUUUCCCCCCUUUCCAAAAAACAGCAUCCUCUUCUAAAGUAGGAUUGAACCCCCUCAAUGUAUGAAGCAAAUUCCCUACCAACUCCAACUCCCAAUCAUUAAAUCCCCUCACAAAUCUUACAUCCCAAUCACCUUGGCCCACAUUCUGGUCCCACAUAUCCUCUACUGUACCAUUCCUAUGAGCAGCCAUCCCAUAUAGAUGAGGAAACCUUUGGGACAGCACUGUACAUCCGCACCAAAGAUCAUUCCAAAAUCUGAUUCUGGUACCAUUCCCCAUCCUAAAAGCCAUAUUCUCCCAACACCAAUCCUUUUCCUUCAUAAUUUCCUUCCAAACCCCUACUCCAAAAGUCCCAUUAGUCUUUUUGGUCAUCCAACCAAACCCCUCUUGCCCAUAUUUCGCCACAAGUACUUGUCUCCACAAAUUUUCCUUUUCACAAGCAAACCUCCAAAUCCAUUUCCCCAACAAAGCUUUAUUUAACGGGACUAGCUUCCUUAAGCCAAGCCCCCCCUUUUCCUUCUCCGUACACACAAUCUUCCAAUUAACAAUGUGCACUUUCCUUUCUAAAUUUCCUCCUCCCCAAAGAAAAUCCCUUUGCAAUUUUCCUAAUCUUCGCGCAACCAACUUGGGCAUACGGAAAAGAGACAUUUGGUACAAAGGUAUGCUAGCCAUCGUACUCUUAAUGAGAAUAAGCCUCCCACCUUUGGAAAUAUAUUGUCAUUUCCAGUGCGCUAGUCUUCUUCUCAUCUUCUCCUCUACCCCAUCCCACACGGCUGCACUCUUGUUACGGGCCCCCAAUGGCAGCCCCAAAUACACAGAGGGCAUAGAGCCCACUUUGCAGCCCAGUUCCGCUGCCAUCUCCUCCAUCUCUUCCACCUCGCCAACUGGGAUUAAUUCACUUUUCUCCAAAUUAAUCCUUAAUCCUGACGUGGCUUCAAACCAGAACAGAAUCCAACUGAGAUAAGUUAGAUACUCCUUCCUAGCUUCACAAAAAACUAUAGUAUCAUCCGCAAAGAGCAGGUGGGAAACAUGCACUGGCUGCCUUCCUCCUCCUCGGAUCCUACACCCUAACAAAAAACCCCCUUCAACAGCCCUUCUGAUUAGAUUGCUCAGCACCUCCAUUCCCAUCACAAAGAGGUAGGGAGAGAGGGGAUCUCCUUGCCUCAACCCCUUAGAACUUGGAAAGAAACCGGCCGACACUCCAUUCACCAACACCAAAAAUUUGGCUGUGGAGAUACAACUCCACAUCCAUCCCAGCCACCUUGAACCGAACCCCAUCUUUCUCAUGACUUUCAUCAGAAACUGCCAAUUUAGGCUGUCGUAGGCUUUCUCUAUGUCCAGCUUACAAAUGAGACCUCUCUCUCCCCUUUUUUGCCAUGCAUCAAUUGCUUCAUUUGCAAUUAAUGAGGCAUCAAGGAUCUGCCUCCCCAUAACAAAAGCAUUCUGAUCAAUGGAUACUACUCUCCCUAUCACUUUUUUCAGUCUAUUGGCUAAGACCUUGGCCAAUAGUUUGUACAGCCCCCCCAAGAGACUGAUUGGCCUGAAUUCCCCAAGGUCCUCAGCCCCCCCCCCUUCUUGGGUAUCAAGACCAAAAAUGUACUGUUCAUGCUCUUGAUGAAGGCACUUUGCUCAUAGAACUCUUUAAACAUCUCCAAAACCUCUUCUUUAACUAUAACNNNNNNNNNNNNNNNNNNNNNNNNNNNNNNNNNNNNNNNNNNNNNNNNNNNNNNNNNNNNNNNNNNNNNNNNNNNNNNNNNNNNNNNNNNNNNNNNNNNNNNNNNNNNNNNNNNNNNNNNNNNNNNNNNNNNNNNNNNNNNNNNNNNNNNNNNNNNNNNNNNNNNNNNNNNNNNNNNNNNNNNNNNNNNNNNNNNNNNNNNNNNNNNNNNNNNNNNNNNNNNNNNNNNNNNNNNNNNNNNNNNNNNNNNNNNNNNNNNNNNNNNNNNNNNNNNNNNNNNNNNNNNNNNNNNNNNNNNNNNNNNNNNNNNNNNNNNNNNNNNNNNNNNNNNNNNNNNNNNNNNNNNNNNNNNNNNNNNNNNNNNNNNNNNNNNNNNNNNNNNNNNNNNNNNNNNNNNNNNNNNNNNNNNNNNNNNNNNNNNNNNNNNNNNNNNNNNNNNNNNNNNNNNNNNNNNNNNNNNNNNNNNNNNNNNNNNNNNNNNNNNNNNNNNNNNNNNNNNNNNNNNNNNNNNNNNNNNNNNNNNNNNNNNNNNNNNNNNNNNNNNNNNNNNNNNNNNNNNNNNNNNNNNNNNNNNNNNNNNNNNNNNNNNNNNNNNNNNNNNNNNNNNNNNNNNNNNNNNNNNNNNNNNNNNNNNNNNNNNNNNNNNNNNNNNNNNNNNNNNNNNNNNNNNNNNNNNNNNNNNNNNNNNNNNNNNNNNNNNNNNNNNNNNNNNNNNNNNNNNNNNNNNNNNNNNNNNNNNNNNNNNNNNNNNNNNNNNNNNNNNNNNNNNNNNNNNNNNNNNNNNNNNNNNNNNNNNNNNNNNNNNNNNNNNNNNNNNNNNNNNNNNNNNNNNNNNNNNNNNNNNNNNNNNNNNNNNNNNNNNNNNNNNNNNNNNNNNNNNNNNNNNNNNNNNNNNNNNNNNNNNNNNNNNNNNNNNNNNNNNNNNNNNNNNNNNNNNNNNNNNNNNNNNNNNNNNNNNNNNNNNNNNNNNNNNNNNNNNNNNNNNNNNNNNNNNNNNNNNNNNNNNNNNNNNNNNNNNNNNNNNNNNNNNNNNNNNNNNNNNNNNNNNNNNNNNNNNNNNNNNNNNNNNNNNNNNNNNNNNNNNNNNNNNNNNNNNNNNNNNNNNNNNNNNNNNNNNNNNNNNNNNNNNNNNNNNNNNNNNNNNNNNNNNNNNNNNNNNNNNNNNNNNNNNNNNNNNNNNNNNNNNNNNNNNNNNNNNNNNNNNNNNNNNNNNNNNNNNNNNNNNNNNNNNNNNNNNNNNNNNNNNNNNNNNNNNNNNNNNNNNNNNNNNNNNNNNNNNNNNNNNNNNNNNNNNNNNNNNNNNNNNNNNNNNNNNNNNNNNNNNNNNNNNNNNNNNNNNNNNNNNNNNNNNNNNNNNNNNNNNNNNNNNNNNNNNCCCAGACAAAAUGGGGCUCUCACCAACCCCCAAUCCACCAAUCUGACUUUGAAUAGGACGGCCCAAUCCCCAAGCCCAGCCUCCUCAGACACCACCCCUUUUAAUUUUAACCCUUUUAAUGGGCUCGGGCCCUUUUUUCUCCCCCCUUUGGGCCUUAGGAUAUAACGUCCUACCUGAAGAUGGGCCUGGGUGGAGAAGCCCAUCCACAUGAUCCAACUCCGCAGAAACCCGGGCCCCAUACCCUGCUCCGACCCGCUCGCCAGUCCCCUCUCCAACUACCCCUCUGACCUGCUCAUCUGUCCCGUCAGCAGCCCGCAGCAGCGCCUCGGGCCUAGCGCUUCUCUCCUCUCCUACGCGCUGGGUAGCGCGUGCCAUAGCGUCACCCCUGACCUCCUCUCUGUAGUUUCCCUUCAAGCUACUUCCAGAGAUCGACUUCCUCAUCUCCGGCCUCACUUCCCACCAUAGGUAUAGUGAGUAGCAAACCUCCUCCACCACUAUGUCUACCCUGCUCGACAAGCCUCCAUUCUUCCUCUUAACAAGGAUUCGAGCCCCUUCCAGGUCCACCAUCUUCUCCGUCAGGGGAUCCAUGGCUACAAACCCUCCACAUUUGUCCCCCACUUUCCGCAAAAUGGACGGAUCCCAUAACGAAACUGGAAGUCCUAAAAUCUUUACCCACACUUCCUUCCUGCUCCCACCUUCGUCUUCGCAACCACACCUAGGUCGCCAUCGUUCCAGCCCUAACUGGACGCCUCCCACCCGCCUGCUUCCAUAGGCAAGGAUACGCUCGGCUUCACCCACAUGCUGAAAUUCCAAAAGGACUCUACCCGUUUCCAUCCUUGCCAAGCCUAGAUUACCCUGCAACCCCCAUGUCCUCGCCAUUAACCAGCCGAACCUCUCCAUAUCCAUGCCUUUGCUAAGCUAGGGCUCCAACUGCCUACGAGACAAUACUCCAGUUUGCGCAGGUUGCCCCUGAUUUCCUCUUCUCUCACUUCCACUCUUACCACUUCACCCCCCCUGCCCUCCGACCCCUUCACCAUUUCUACAAACGACUUAUUCAUACUUGUUUCCACCAUUGCCCUAUCCUCCUGCUUUUUCUCUUUGACGCCAUNNNNNNNNNNNNNNNNNNNNNNNNNNNNNNNNNNNNNNNNNNNNNNNNNNNNNNNNNNNNNNNNNNNNNNNNNNNNNNNNNNNNNNNNNNNNNNNNNNNNGUUUCUCCUCCACCCCGAUCUCGAAGAACUUUGACUCCACCCCAAAUCUCCCCUCUUUCCUUUUUUUCCUACCUCGCUUUUCUUCUCAAAAACCACCCUCGUCGUCCUCGCUCUCUCUCAUGCUGUCCACUCUGUUUUUACAGGAAAAGAAAGCAGAUUGUACAGCCUUAAAGCCCAGAGAUCUAUCAAAAACGACUUUGAUUAUCGGCUUUCAUCCAAAGAAUUUUGAUGCUUUCCACUUUAAUAUUCCCCAUCUGAAAUUCAAGUGUGAAAGCAGAAUUUAGAGUUAUGCCAAAUUCUGUGGCAUAAGCAGAAUUUAGAGUUAUGCCACAAGGUAUUUGUGAACUUCUUUAGACGAAAAUCAUACUUAAGGAUCUCAAGAUCAAAUUUCAAGAACUUAUGAUAUUGUAUUGCAAUAAUAAAGUUGUCAUCAACAUAGCUUACAACUCAAUCCAUCACAAUGGAACCAAGCAUGUGGAGGUUGAUAGACAUUUUAUAAAGGAAAAGUUGGAUAGUGGUUAAGUGUGCACACCAUAUACGUGUACUACUAAUCAGCUGGCCAAUGAUCUCACUAAAGGACUCCCAAGUUUAGCAUUUCAACAAAUGAUGGCAAGCUGAAAUGCAAAACAUUUUUGCACCAGCUUGAAGAGGAGAGUUGGAAGAAUUGGUACUAGGUUGGUGACCAUGUAAUAUAGUUUCCAUAGUUAAGUAUUGCAUAAUUGUACAUUAUUUUGUAGAUCCUAAAAUUUUGCUUGUAUUAAUUUGUUUCCUUGUUUAGAUUCUAGAGUCAAAACUCAAAAGUGUCACUCAAUAUAUAGCCUUGUAUCAAGAUCUUAGAAGAAAUAAGAAAAGGAUUAUUUUCUCUCUGAUUUCAAUACUAUAUUUAUAAAUAAAUAAAAUAAAAUAAAAUAAAAUAAAAUAAAAAAUGGACAAGAAAAAUGAAGGGCAUUCUGCACAGUAUACCACAGGACCAAAGAACUCAAGAACAUACGAACAGGAGAUAAUUGAACAAAGUAAGCCAAAAGAGGAGGGGGCAAAAUGAAGAAAAAGAGGUAAACUAAAAGCUCAAAUAGGUUCCCAGUUAUACAUCUUAUUAGAAGCAUAGCACAAAGCCUUUACUAGAAUAUGUUGAAUACAUCUUAUAAGGAAAAAGAGAAGAAAAAAGAAAAAUGUGCAGAACACAGAGAUGUAGGAAGAAUAGAACGUUCAAAUAUUCCUUCAGGAAUAAGGGGAGAAAAGAAAAAUUCAACACCAGCAUCAUGCAUAUAGAUUUCAACUUAGUACAACUGUCAACUGCCACUACAAAAGACAACUGAUACAUUCAAAUUUUUGAAUAAUAUAUGUCCUCAGUCGAUAAUUAUGAACAAAUUGAUAAGCAUCUCAGUUUGUGCAACAGCAAAAUAUCCAAACGAAUGGGCUUCCCGGUGACAGAGAUGCCUCUCUCCAACCAAUCCACCACUUGCCGCCGAGACUCACCUAUA